rnacentral:rRNA from 1 species
AGUUCUGAUUGGAAAACAAAAAACAAGUUAAAACUUUCAACAACGGAUCUCUUGGUUCUGGCAUCGAUGAAGAACGCAGCGAAAUGCGAUAAGUAAUGUGAAUUGCAGAAUUCAGUGAAUCAUCGAAUCUUUGAACGCACAUUGCGCCCGGCAGUAAUCUGCCGGGCAUGCCUGUCCGAGCGUCAUUUCAACCCUCGAACCUCCGUUUCCUCAGGGAAGCCCAGGGUCGGUGUUGGGGCGCUACGGCGAGUCCUCGCGACCCCCGUAGGCCCUGAAAUACAGUGGCGGUCCCGCCGCGGUUGCCUUCUGCGUAGUAAAUCUCUUUUGCAAGCUCGCAUUGGGUCCCGGCGGAGGCCUGCCGUCAAACCACCUAACAACUCCAGAUGGUUGACCUCGAU